GGUUGAUUAUCUCUGGUGUUGUUCUAUCCACAGGACAGGGCUUAGAGGUUGAUUAUCUCUGGUGUUGUUCUAUCCACAGGACAGGGCUUAGAGGUUGAUUAUUAUCUGGUGUUGUUCUAUCCACAGGACAGGGCUUAGAGGUUGAUUAUUAUCUGGUGUUGUUCUAUCCACAGGACAGGGCUUAGAGGUUGAUUAUCUCUGGUGUUGUUCUAUCCACAGGACAGGGCUUAGGGGUUGAUUAUCUCUGGUGUUGUUCUAUCCACAGGACAGGGCUUAGAGGUUGAUUAUUAUCUGGUGUUGUUCUAUCCACAGGACAGGGCUUAGAGGUUGAUUAUCUCUGGUGUUGUUCUAUCCACAGGACAGGGCUUAGGGGUUGAUUAUCUCUGGUGUUGUUCUAUCCACAGGACAGGGCUUAGAGGUUGAUUAUUAUCUGGUGUUGUUCUAUCCACAGGACAGGGCUUAGAGGUUGAUUAUCUCUGGUGUUGUUCUAUCCACAGGACAGGGCUUAGGGGUUGAUUAUCUCUGGUGUUGUUCUAUCCACAGGACAGGGCUUAGAGGUUGAUUAUUAUCUGGUGUUGUUCUAUCCACAGGACAGGGCUUAGAGGUUGAUUAUCUCUGGUGUUGUUCUAUCCACAGGACAGGGCUUAGGGGUUGAUUAUCUCUGGUGUUGUUCUAUCCACAGGACAGGGCUUAGGGGUUGAUUAUCUCUGGUGUUGUUCUAUCCACAGGACAGGGCUUAGGGGUUGAUUAUCUCUGGUGUUGUUCUAUCCACAGGACAGGGCUUAGAGGUUGAUUAUUAUCUGGUGUUGUUCUAUCCACAGGACAGGGCUUAGGGGUUGAUUAUCUCUGGUGUUGUUCUAUCCACAGGACAGGGCUUAGGGGUUGAUUAUCUCUGGUGUUGUUCUAUCCACAGGACAGGGCUUAGAGGUUGAUUAUUAUCUGGUGUUGUUCUAUCCACAGGACAGGGCUUAGGGGUUGAUUAUCUCUGGUGUUGUUCUAUCCACAGGACAGGGC